CCCGUGUGAACCCGGAGGACAAAAGUUGGGGAUGCGGGGGCGCGCUGUGGGAUUCGCUAGCGGCGCCCUCUAGUGGCACUUCGCGGAGCCUUGGCAGAAACCCUACUGGGAGCCGGUGUGUCCCCCAGUAACCUUUGCAAAUGGAAGAGGGGAAUUCCCUCUGCGGCCCCCCGACAAGUGACCUUUCUCUUUUCUCCUUGGCCAGUCAGGGAAGCAAACUCAGGAACCCUGGACUUAGGAGAUGGGAGGAAGAUUAAAGCGGCAGUUCUCAAAGUGUGAUCCGGGAGACCCUGCAGAUCCCAAGAUUCUUUGUAGAGUUUCGGUGGCAGAACUAGUUUUAGAAUGAAUAAUAGACGUCAUUUGCCUUUUAAACUCACAAUGGAAUUUUCCAGAGGCGACCUGAUGUCUAACGAUGACACUGCUCUUAUGACCAAAGGAAUGUGAGCUCGUAUAUUCUUGCGGUUUUUAGAAUUUCCUAAGUGAAUCCAGGAAAAUAGAGGAUGCUUCAAAGAAGGAAAUGCGAGAGUACACUGCACCCAAGCAGCCUCUGGCCUGAGGAACAAGCAACAGACCCAUGUUCUGGCCGUGGUGCGAGUGAAUGUUUGGCAUAGUCUGUCUGCUGGUAACAACAGAGGUUAUUACCUGAAAACUCAUUCUGGAGGUGGAGGAUGUUGGGCCACUCACACAGACCCUGGGACUACCAGCUGUGGGAAGGAGCUACCCAAUUCAGGUCUCCUCGACUCAUCAAGACGACCUGCCUGAGGAAGGGAGCUACCCACUCUGGGUCUCUUCUCCACUGAGAGCUGGACAUUCACUGGGACAACCUGCCUGCGGAAAGGAGCUACCCACUUCAAGUUUCCCGAGAGCUGUUCUGUCACUCAAUAAGGCUCCUCUCCGCUUUGCUCACCCUGUAGUUGUCCGCGUGCCUCAUUCUUCCUGGAUGUGGGACGAGAACUCAGGACCCACUUAAUGGCGGGACUGAAAGAGCAGUAACACAAACAGGGCUGAAACACGCCCUCCUCCCCCAACACCCCCCUGCCCCGACUUGUGGGUGAUGUGAAGGAGAGAAGUGCUGUGGCCCUUCAGGGAGCCCAGACCGAGGGGUUCCCUGAGCCAGGGCUGUGACACCCUCUUUGGGGCUCUGCGGUUUCUGGUAUCUUCAAACUUCUGGGCACCACUGCAUUCCCCUUGUCCAGACACAGGUGCCCACAGCAGAAGCCGCUUGUAGUUCAUCAGAUCCAGCUGCAGACUUGCAUGGAACUGGCACCUUUGCCGGCGCCUGGAGCUGCCCGCCCAGCUGCAGCAGCUGGUGUGUCUGGCUGUGCGCAGUGACUAGACCUUGCGUUCGCUCGCCUACACAACCCUCGCCGCUCUGUGCCUGGCUCACCCUUGACAGGCGUAGAAUCCUGGCUGGUAGCAUGAGCUGAGCGCAGCUUGCCAGGCCACGUCGGUGGAACGAGUCUAGCGAGCCUGAUCAAAACUCAGGCAAAGGCACCACUGGUCACAGAGCUUUCUAGCUGGAAAAGCAACACCAGAAGGAUCCCGUGACACAAUCAACAUGCUAGGAGAUCCCUGCUACCCUGAGAGGCUACAGGAAGCUGCCUCCAUCCAGGCCUCUUCACAGAAGGAGAAUUGCAGAGACCAUAGGAUUUUUCUGCUCACAGGAACAGAUGGUGUCCGGUCAGGAAGCUAAAAUGCUUCAAGGAAAGUGCAAUAGGGAUUAUAAUACUGAUGAUCUGAGACUCUGAUAAUGAUUCUGAGAUGAUUCCCAAUGCUAUGAUGAAUCAUCUCAGAAUGACUCUGAGAGGAUUCCUGAUUCUAUGAUCAUUGAGGUAGAUCUCACGGUUGGUGAAUCUACUUGGUAAAGCUGAGGCAUCACAAUACCAUCGUUUCUUUCUGAGGUGAGAGCUGUCCCAAUACUUUGAAAAUAGUCUGCAGGCUGCUCUACCUGUGGAGUAGCCAUUCUUUAUUCCUUCACUUUCCUAAUAAACUUGCUUUCACA